UUCACAUUUGAGUGAGUGGCGAACUGGUGAGUAACACGGUACGGGAAACCUCGCCCAGAAGCGGGGGAUAACACCUGGAAACAGAUGCUAAUACCGCAUAACAACUUGGACCGCAUGGUCCGAGUUUGAAAGAUGGCUUCGGCUAUCACUUCUGGAUGGUCCCGCGGCGUAUUAGCUAGAUGGUGAGGUAACGGCUCACCAUGGCAAUGAUACGUAGCCCGACCUGAGAGGGUAAUCGGCCACAUUGGGACUGAGACACGGCCCAAACUCC
rnacentral:rRNA from 1 species